ACGUAAUGCAGUGCUGAAGAUGGCCUAUCAGCUUCCGGUGGCCCUAAGGUAACGUAAUGUAGCGCUGAAGAUGGCCUAUCGAAUUCCGGUGGCCCUAAGGUAACGUAAUGUAGCGCUGAAGAUGGCCUAUCAGCUUCCGGUGGCCCUAAGGUAACGUAAUGUAGCGCUGAAGAUGGCCUAUCGAAUUCCGGUGGCCCUAAGGUAACGUAAUGUAGCGCUGAAGAUGGCCUAUCAGCUUCCGGUGGCCCUAAGGUAACGUAAUGUA